rnacentral:rRNA from 1 species
UACGUAGGGGGCGAGCGUUGUCCGAAGUUACUGGGCGUAAAGCGCGCGUAGGCGGGUUGGCAAGUCGUGCUGUGAAAGCCCGGGGCUUAACUCCGGAGGGUCGGUGGAUACUGCCAGUCUUGAAGGUGCUAGGGAGAGAUGGAAUUACAGGUGUAGCGGUGAAAUGCGUAGAUAUCUGUAGGAACACCAGUGGCGAAGGCGGUCUCUUGGGGCAUUCUUGACGCUGAGGCGCGAAAGCUGGGGGAGCGAACGGG